rnacentral:rRNA from 1 species
AUUGAACGCUGGCGGCAGGCCUAACACAUGCAAGUCGAACGAGUGGCGGACGGGUGAGUAAUGUAUGGGAAACUGCCUGAUGGAGGGGGAUAACUACUGGAAACGGUAGCUAAUACCGCAUACCAUCGGAUGUUCCCAAAUGGGAUUAGCUUGUAGGUGGGGUAACGGCUCACCUAGGCGACGAUCCCUAGCUGGUCUUAGAGGAUGAUCAGCCACACUGGAACUGAGACACGGUCCAGACUCCUACGGGAGGCAGCAGUGGGGAAUAUUGCACAAUGGGCGCAAGCCUGAUACAGCCAUGCCGCGUGUAUGAAGAAGGCCUUCGGGUUGUAAAGUACUUUCAGCGGGGAGGCGUUACCCGCAGAAGAAGCACCGGCUAACUCCGUGCCAGCAGCCGCGGUAAUUC